ensembl:rRNA 5S_rRNA 5S ribosomal RNA
GCUUAUGGCCAUACCAGCCUGGCUAUGCCCGAUCUUGUCUGAUCUCGUAAGCUAAGCAGGUUUGGGCCUGGUUAGUGCCUGGAUGGGAGACCGCCUGGGAAUGCCAGGUACUGUAAGCU